GCAAUGGGGUCAGGAAUCUAAGGAAGUAUUCCAUAUCAUUCCUUUCCGUAACACAAUAUAUAAAAAGGCGCAGAUAAGAGAGUCCGCUCUCUUCUCUCUUCCGGUGGCUGAAGACGACAGACAACAACCUGGCACUAUGCUUUUCCUAGAAGCUUAUAAGUGCUAAGCCAUGGCUGGACCAGCUGGAUCACGAAGCCAUGCACUUUGCAAGCUCAUCAGGAAAACAACUGAUCUGUUCCACCAGGGAACAUGCCCACGUGGACAUGGCUUAAAGACAACUGUUGUCCUGGGCCAGAAAAUCACCUCAGAGCCUGUGAGGAGGGAGCGAGCUUUUCCACACUACCAGGAAUACGCUGCAAAGGCUGCCUCUGGUGGACAUUAAACAAGAGCCCAUUUCUGGGGGGGGGGUUGCUGCUGCUUCAAGACAUUCUCAGUAAACCUCUCCAGAAGAUAUGGAGGAAGUAGUAUAGAUUUGCUCAUGACACAGUCAGGGAAGUUUAUGACCAGUAGUGUUACCUGAGUAACCCUAAAAAAAGCAGAUCCUCAGAGACCAUUUCAGAAGUUCAACAUUUGUGGACAGAGUGAGGGAGAAAAAGAUGACUGUCAGAAGCUAAUUGCUCCAGAUGUACUAUACAUAUAGGUCAUGUUACAGGCCAGGACUGGGAAGAUGCAUAGUCUAGCUCUGAAUGAAUUCCCAUUUGUACUUAGUUUAAUUAUGCAGUAUUAGUUUAUUAUCAAUAAAUAAUGACAUGCUAGUAUAAAAGCCUUUUUUCCCCCCUAAUUUGAAGACAAUCUCAGCAAUAUUAGCACUAAUGAUUACAUCUUUGAAGCUCAAUGCAACCUGGAGAGGUGCUAGAGGCUGCCUUUCUUUCUGAAGGAUGCAUUGCAGGUUCCCAUGCCAUGCUCAUCCAUACUCUCCAAAAGCACGG